GGAGAUGUGGCUCUGGAUCGGUGGCAAGAACGUGCGCUUUGCAUGCAAAAAGCCCUAGGUUCAACCCUUAGCAUCUCCA
rnacentral:tRNA from 1 species